rnacentral:misc_RNA from 1 species
AGUAUCGGUUUCCAACUUUGAGUUUUUCGCAAGAGGAACCCAAGUGAAUGAGAUUGCCAGAGUCAAAUCUGACUGCCUCCAAAUGCAACCGGCCGCACCCAACUGCGUUCGUACUUUUCGACACACAAGUCGAGCGCAGGCGACCAACAAACCUUUACAAUCAAGAUCUCAAAUGAGGUAAGACUACCCGCUGAAUUUAA